rnacentral:rRNA from 1 species
UGCCCGAAAGGGUAGACCUCCCACCCUUGUGUAUUAUUACUUUGUUGCUUUGGCGAGCUGCCUUCGGGCCUUGUAUGCUCGCCAGAGAAUACCAAAACUCUUUUUAUUAAUGUCGUCUGAGUACUAUAUAAUAGUUAAAACUUUCAACAACGGAUCUCUUGGUUCUGGCAUCGAUGAAGAACGCAGCGAAAUGCGAUAAGUAAUGUGAAUUGCAGAAUUCAGUGAAUCAUCGAAUCUUUGAACGCACAUUGCGCCCCUUGGUAUUCCGGGGGGCAUGCCUGUUCGAGCGUCAUUUCAACCCUCAAGCUUAGCUUGGUAUUGAGUCUAUGUCAGUAAUGGCAGGCUCUAAAAUCAGUGGCGGCGCCGCUGGGUCCUGAACGUAGUAAUAUCUCUCGUUACAGGUUCUCGGUGUGCUUCUGCCAAAACCCAAAUUUUUCUAUGGUUGACCUCGGAUCAGGUAGGGAUACCCGCUGAACUUAAGCAUAUCAAAACGGGGGAAGGAAAAAUC